UACGUAGGGGGCGAGCGUUGUCCGGAAUCAUUGGGCGUAAAGAGCGUGUAGGCGGCUUGGCAAGUCUGACGUGAAAGCCCGCGGCUCAACCGCGGAUUGUCGUUGGAAACUGCCUCGCUAGAGUCCGGAAGAGGAGAGCGGAAUUCCUGGUGUAGCGGUGGAAUGCGCAGAUAUCGGGAGGAACACCUAUGGCGAAGGCAGCUCGCUGGGACGUUACUGACGCUGAGACGCGAAAGCGUGGGGAGCAAACAGG
rnacentral:rRNA from 1 species